rnacentral:misc_RNA from 1 species
UUAAUAUAUUAGAUAUAUUUUCAGACAAUUUUCACUAAUUACAACUUGUUUACAAGAGUUUAAUGUAUAUCCACCAGCGGGCAAACCCGCCGAGGUAACGUUAAAUUGUUUGCAAGGUUUUGAAGUAUUGGACAGCCUUUGCAGGCGCCAACACUGUACAGAAGGUACUGUAAUGAUCCUUCCGCAGGUUCACCUACGGAAA